CGAAGGAGGGAGCAAUCCUCCAAUCCGCGGUUAUGUCCACACAACAUAUUCAACGCCUCAUUUGGCGCUGAAUUCUCCCAGCCGCUUGGGGCAGCAGCCAGUUCAGCGGCUCAACAUAGGGGGAUCAGCUCAAUUUCACGACGGAGGACAGAGAGGGAGCUACUCGGUCUCCAAUACACCUCAUGGGAGAAAAGAUUACAGAAGGAAUGCAUAAUGUAAAAUGUUAUGAUGAGAUGAGGAGGAGAAAUCAUUAUUUAUAUGUUAGCAUUCCAUUUCCUGCAACUUGUAAUUUUUUCCUUUUUUAGUACAUAUUUUUCCUUGAGAGUUUAUUGAGAAAAGAAUGACUAUCGACGUGGCUCUCUUGUUUGAAAUGGGUAAAAGAAAGAAAUUGAUAUGGGGAUCGAUAUAAGCAUGAUUGAAAUGCUUAUUUAUCGUUUUGUUGAA